rnacentral:rRNA from 1 species
GAUCAGGCCUAACACAUGCAAGUCGAACGCGAAAGCCCUGCUUGCAGGGCGAGUAGAGUGGCGAACGGGUGAGUAACGCGUGGGUAACCUACCCUCCAGUUGGGGAUAAUCCCGCGCGAAAGCGGGCCUAUAUACCGGGAUGGAACAUCGCCUCUCCUCGGAGGGGUGAUCAAAGAUGGCCUCUGAUACAAGCUAUCGCUGGGGGAGGGGCUCGCGUCCUAUUAGCUUGUUGGUGGGGUAACGGCCCACCAAGGCGACGAUGGGUAGCCGGCCUGAGAGGGUGUCCGGCCACCACUGGAACUGAGACACGGUCCAGACUCCUACGGGAGGCAGCAGUGGGGAAUUUUUCGCAAUGGGCGAAAGCCUGACGAAGCGACGCCGCGUGGACGAUGAAGGCCUUCGGGUCGUAAAGUCCUGUCGGGUGGGAAGAAAAGCAUGAGCUCGAAUAAAGCUCAUGCUUGACGGUACCACCCAAGGAAGCCCCGGCCAACUCCGUGCCAGCAGCCGCGGUAAUACGGGGGGGGCAAGCGUUAUUCGGAAUUACUGGGCGUAAAGGGCGUCUAGGCGGUCGGGUAAGUCGUGGGUGAAAGCCCCCGGCUCAACCGGGGAAGUGCCUGCGAAACUAUCCGACUUGAGGUCGGGAGAGGAAAGUGGAAUUCCCAGUGUAGCGGUGAAAUGCGCAGAUACUGGGAGGAACACCAGUGGCGAAGGCGGCUUUCUGGAACGACCCUGACGCUGAAGCGCGAAAGCUAGGGGAGCGAACGGGAUUAGAUACCCCGGUAGUCCUAGCCGUAAACGAUGGGCACUUGGUGUAGCAGGAUUUAAAACCUGCUGUGCCGAAGCUAACGCAUUAAGUGCCCCGCCUGGGGAGUACGGCCGCAAGGCUGAAACUCAAAGGAAUUGACGGGGGCCCGCACAAGCGGUGGAGCAUGUGGUUUAAUUCGAUGCAACGCGAAGAACCUUACCGGGGCUUGAAGUGUGGUUGACAGGAUAAGAAAUUAUCCCUUCUCUUCGGAGACAACUGCACAGGUGCUGCAUGGCUGUCGUCAGCUCGUGUCGUGAGAUGUUGGGGUAAGUCCCGCAACGAGCGCAACCCCUGCCCUAGGUUGCCACCGGGUAAUGCCGAGCACUCUAAGGGGACUGCCGG